CUCGUUAUCUCCUAAUGUGUGUGUGGAAUUAUUGGAAAGAAGGGUGGUGCCUUCCUCCAUUUUUGAUAGGAUCAAGGGGUGCCAACCCCUAGAUAAUGCAAGAAGGGCCCACCCCCUCUUGUGGGUUGGCAUGGAAGGAGAGAAAGAGAGGGGCUAUGCCCCCUCUCUUAUGCCAUGAAACCUUAAGGGGGCGCCAACUACCUACCCUAUAUUCAUGGGGCAUCCACUUAGAUUGCCUUAUCUGACUGGAGCACCUCAUAUGAUUAUCAAAAAGGGCUAAUGUCCUAUCAAUUAAGUCUAAUUUUAAUAAAAAAAAUCACAUUAAAAAGGUAGAAAUCUUUAUGAGAUAAGGACGUACCUUUUUAAGUUAACUGGUUCUUCAUUUGGAUCAAGAUAGAAUCUAUUUAAAGAGACAAUCUCUUAGGGUUUAGAAAAUAGAAUUUUGUGAAACAAAAAUUCCUCUCCCUUCUCCAUGCCACACCUUCUCUCCUUCUUCUCUUUCCAAUGCCCAAAGGUUGGGCGUCCCACCUUUCUACAUGCCAAGGUUGAAGAGGCUUUCUUCUACUACGAGGAACGAAGAG
rnacentral:lncRNA from 1 species